AGAGUUUGAUCCUGGCUCAGGAUGAACGCUAGCGGCAGGCUUAAUACAUGCAAGUCGUGGGGCAGCAGGGGUAGCAAUACCCGCUGGCGACCGGCAAACGGGUGCGGAACACGUACGCAACCUCCCUUUAACUGGAGAAUAGCCCCUCGAAAGAGGGAUUAAUACUCCGUAACAUAUUGAAAAGGCAUCUUUUUAAUAUUAUAGCUCCGGCGGUUAAAGAUGGGCGUGCGACUGAUUAGAUAGUUGGCGGGGUAACGGCCCACCAAGUCUGCGAUCAGUAACUGGUGUGAGAGCACGACCAGUCACACGGGCACUGAGACACGGGCCCGACUCCUACGGGAGGCAGCAGUAAGGAAUAUUGGUCAAUGGACGCAAGUCUGAACCAGCCAUGCCGACGUGGAGGAUUAAGGCCCUCUGGGUUGUAAGACUCCUUUUAUCUGGGAAGAGUGCAUGUUUUCUAAAGUGCUUGACGGUACCAGAGGAAUAAGCACCGGCUAACUCCGUACCAGCAGCCGCGGUAAUACGGAGGGUGCAAGCGUUAUCCGGAUCCACUGGGUUUACACGGUGCGUAUGCGGGCAGGUAAAUCCGUGGUGAAAUCUCUGAGCUGAACUCAUAAACUGCCAUGGAUAGCUAUUUGUCUGGAAUAUGGUGGAGGUAUACGGAAUAUGUCAUGUANCGGUGGAAUGCUACGAUUGACGUUGACACCCAUUGCNAAGCAGCUACUACACAGUUAUUGACCCUGAUGCCUGAAAGCNUGGGGAUCAAACCGGAAUGGAAUAACCUGGGUAGAUAAUUGGCNAAUUUCNG
rnacentral:rRNA from 1 species